AAUGACCCCGUAACUUCGGGAGAAGGGGUGCUCUGUUAGGGUGCAAGCCCGAGAGAGCCGCAGUGAAUAGGCCCAGGCGACUGUUUAGCAAAAACACAGGUCUCUGCGAAGCCGUAAGGCGAAGUAGAGGGGCUGACGCCUGCCCGGUGCUGGAAGGUUAAGAGGAGCGCUUAGCGUAAGCGAAGGUGCGAAUUGAAGCCCCAGUAAACGGCGGCCGUAACUAUAACGGUCCUAAGGUAGCGAAAUUCCUUGUCGGGUAAGUUCCGACCCGCACGAAAGGCGCAACGAUCUGGGCACUGUCUCAACGAGAGACUCGGUGAA
rnacentral:rRNA from 1 species